UACAGAGGUCUCAAGCGUUGUUCGGAUUCAUUGGGCGUAAAGGGUGCGUAGGCGGCGCGGUAAGUCGGGUGUGAAAUCUCAGAGCUCAACUCUGAAAUGGCACUUGAUACUGCCGUGCUUGAGGACUGGAGAGGAGACUGGAAUUUACGGUGUAGCGGUGAAAUGCGUAGAUAUCGUAAGGAAGACCAGUGGCGAAGGCGGGUCUCUGGACAGUUCCUGACGCUGAGGCACGAAGGCCAGGGGAGCAAACGGG
rnacentral:rRNA from 1 species